rnacentral:lncRNA from 1 species
CCCGCCCCGCCCGGCACCGAGGGGGGGGGAACCGGAAACCAGGGGGCGACCGACCCCCCCAGGGGGGCUACCGGGGCGGGGGCGGGGCCCGACGGCAAGGCCGUGACGUCAGCGACCCCCCCGAUGACAUCAUCCGCCUCCCCGAUGACAUCAUCGACCCCCCCGAUGACAUCAUCAACAACGACGGCGACGACAACGUCAACGAUGACGUCGACGAUGACGUCAGCGCCCCCCGUGACGUCACCGAAGGCGUCGACGGCGGUGACAUCAUCAGGGCCCGCGGGGGCGUCGCCCGUGACGUCAUCGAAGACGCCAGUGACGUCAUCGGCGCCGUCUACGACGUCAUCGGCGCCGUCCAAGGCCGCGGUGACCUCAGCGGGGUCAUCAGUGACAUCAUCGGUGACGUCGAAGCCCUCGGUGACGUCACCAGGGCCGGCGGUGACAUCAGCGGCGUCGAAGGCAGCAGUGACAUCACCAGGGGCGGCGGUGACGUCAUCGAUGACAUCAGCAGCAGCGUCCAAGGCGGCGGUGACCUCAUCGGGGCCGGCGAUGACAUCAGCAGCGACGUCAAAGCCCGCAGUGACCUCAGCAGGGCCGUCAGUGACGUCAUUGAUGACAUCAGCAGCGGCGUCAAAGACCUCAGCGGGGCCGCCGAUGACGUCAUCAGUGACGUCAAAGCCCUCGGUGACCUCAUCGGGGCCGGCGGUGACAUCAUCGGUGACAUCACCCGGGACGUCACCAUCCGUGACGUCAUCCCUGACAUCAUCCGUGACGUCAACCUCAUCGAUGACAUCAUCGGUGACGUCAUCACCCGCAGCCACGCCCUCGAAGCCGCCGGCCCCGCCCUCCCCCGUCACAUCNNNNNNNNNNNNNNNNNNNNNNNNNNNNNNNNNNNNNNNNNNNNNNNGCCCCUCCCCUGUGGCCACCAACCUCACCAAGGCCCCCCCGGCCACCCCGGGGGCCACCAAGGUCGCUGUGGCUACCGGCGGCGCCCCCCGGGCUACUAACGUCACCCCUGUGGCUACUAACGUCACCCCCAAGGCCACCGUGGACGGCGGCGCCCCCGUGGCCACCAGCGGCGCCCCCGUGGCCACUAAUGUCACCCCCAAGGCCACCGCUGUCGCUGGCACCCCGGGGGCCACCAACGUCACCCCGGGGGCCACCAACGUCUCCGUGGCCACCAACGUCUCCAUGGGGGCCACCAACGUCUCCGUGGCCACCAACGCCACCCCGGGGGCCACCAACGUCUCCGUGGCCACCGUUGUCACCCCGGGGGCCACCAACGUCUCCGUGGGGGCUACUAACUCCACCGUGGCCACCGUUGUCACCCCAGGGGCCACCAAAGCCACCGUGGCCACCAACGCCACCCUGGGGGCCACCAACGCCACCGUGGCCACCACCCUCACCCCAGUGGCCACCAAAGCCACCGCAGGGGUCGCCGUGGACUCUGUCACCCCAGUGGCCACCAAAGCCACCCCGGGGGCCACUGUUGUCACCCCCGGGGCCACCGCUGUCACCCCCGUGGCCACCAGUGUCCCCUCCGUGGCCACCAGCGCUCCCAAGGCCACCCCUGCAGCCACCGUGGCCACCAGCGUCACCCCAGUGGCCACCAGCGUCGCCGUCGCUCCCAAGGCCACCAACGUCCCCACCGUGGCCACCAGUUUGACCAGUGGCCCCAGGGCCACCAACCUCUCUGCGGUGGCCACCAGCGUCCCCACCGUGGCCACCAGUGUCACCAGUAUCAACGCUGGAGCUACCGGUGCCACCUCCGUGGCCACCAACGUCCCCGCUGUGGCCACCAACCUCCCUGCUGUGGCCACCACCGUCCGCGCUGUGGCCACCAGUGUCACCAGUAUCAACGCUGGAGCUACUGGGGCCACCGCCGUGGCCACCAACGUCCCCAAUGUGGCCACCAGUAUGACCAGUGUCAAUGCUGGAGCUACUGGUGCCACCCCCGUGGCCACCAACGUCUCUGAUGUGGCCACCAACGUCCCCAAAGUGGCCACCAACGUCUCUGCUGUGGCCACCAGUAUGACCAGUAUCAACUCUGGAGCCACCCCCGUGGCCACCAACGUCUCUGAUGUGGCCACCAACGUCCCCAAAGUGGCCACCAGUGUCACCAGUGUCAACUCCGUGGCCACCACCGUCCCCGAAGUGGCCACCAGUGUCACCAGUGUCAACGCUGGAGCUACUGGGGCCACCGCUGUGGCCACCAACGACCCCAAAGUGGCCACCACCGUCUCCGAUGUGGCCACCACCGUCCCCAAAGUGGCCACCAGUGUCCCCAGUAUCAACUCUGGAGCUACUGGGGCCACCCCCGCCCCCUCCGUGGCCAGUGACGUCGCCCCCGUGGCCACCGGCCCCGCCCCGGCCCCGCCCCCUAAAGGCG